UGUUUCGGUGGUCAUAGCGAAGGGGAAACGCCCGGUUACAUUCCGAACCCGGAAGCUAAGCCCUUCAGCGCCGAUGGUACUGCACUGGGAACGGUGUGGGAGAGUAGGACACCGCCGAACUCAACGUUC
rnacentral:rRNA from 1 species